UUAGAUCCUUUCUCAAAAUAAAAUAGGACUGGGAAUAUGGUUCCUGGGUUCAAUUCCCAGUGCCUCAAAUAAUAAUAAUAAUAAUAAUGACACCUUCAUAACUACUCAGUUAUGAUAAUAAUAUUAUCAAGCAAAAAGUUUGAAGCCCCAGGUGUUCAAUAAGGAUGUUAUCUUGACUGUGGAUGGCAGUGCUCCUAGUCCUGCUUCCUUAGGAAAACCACUGAUCUCGACUGCCCACUCCUGUACUGGAAAUAUCCCUUCCUUCCACUUCUCUAGGGACCUUACAAUCUGGAAGCACUUGAGAGGAAAGGAGACCUGUGGUACCCAAGGAUGGUAAAGAAGACAACCAGGAACAAUAUAAAAGAGGAGGCCGAAGAGACCGAAAUAUGGAGACCUUGUAUACCUUCAUCAUCUCCUCUCGCAGCUACCAAAACAAGACUGCCAAACAAGACUGCAUGCGUACUCACAUCGAGACUUCUUCAAGGCUGUUAUCAGAGAGUUUGCCCUGGAAGGAACUGUGACUCCCCUUUCUCUUAGAGAAGAGGGAACAAGUGCCUAUCCCCCUAAAUAGUGCACUUGGUGCAGGGAGAAGGAAAAUUAAUAAACAAACAGACCUGUCCAACUCCAAUGCUACAAGGGACUGGGAUGAGCUUUAGUUCCAGAGAUCACCAGUACUUACCUGUCAAAGCCUUCCUGGGAAGUGGCUGCUCUGCUUUUAUACUGAAUUAGAAGGCUGUCAUCUCCAUCUAUCCAGCUUUUCUACUUGUCAGUGAAAAUUCAGGCCAAAAAGGACAGCUGCAAAGAAUGAAAGUGGAAAGAAAAAGAAAAGGUAAAAUAACCAUGGGACACUGAAGCGGAGUGGAGUGAAUCUAAAAGUUGGGAUACCUGUUUGUCAUAGUUAAUGCUGUUCUUCCCUCUUCUGUUUGUCCUCACCCCUGGCUAAUUCUGAGGACCAAUUCUGCACUUCUAGGGGAAGUCACAAAAAUCCCUGGGUCCCUAUAUGCUGAUACCGAUAACCUGCUCUGACUUGGAAAGAUGAUCAUGAUGUACCAUAAAAUAAAAUUUUAAAAAGCCACGGAGCAAUGUAUUAUGCAAGUAUGUACAAGUAGCUAGGUAGAAAGGUUCAUCUUUGCAAGUCAAACACAAUCUGAACUAACCCAGGUAAAUCCCAGAUCUUGGGUCCCAGAACUCAGUUCUGUCCUUUGCUUCUGAAUAGAACUAAGGCAGAUUCAAUCAUUCUGGGUACCCUGUUCACUCAGCUACUCAGAAAAGGAUAAAUGGCAUCCUCUUAUUGGUUAACAAGGCAAUACACAACAGCCAAUAAGAGAAUUGUUCUUCCUUUCUGGCCAAUAAAAUCUCAGUUAUCUUCUUGAAAGGAAGUAAACCCUUUGUCCAUAAAGAAAUGAAAAGAAAGGGAAUACUAAUUUUAAAAAAAACUACUGUUGCUAUGGGACAUUACUGAUGUGAUCAAUGAUAGGCUGUGCCAAAGAAUUAAUAAAGAAAAGCACUUCUUUGGGGAAAAAAGUACAAAAAGCAGACCAGCUGUCUGGUCUGGUGUAAAAGGAAGUUUCUAUAGUAACAUGUAAGAGAAAGGCAUUUUAAUGUAAACGCCCCACAACUAUAUCUAACCUGUCCACUUAGGGCAUUUUUUGGCCUUAAACUUCCAUUGAAAAUAUAGAAAUUUUUAAAAAUUAUAUUAGCAAUGGAUGA